UACGGAGGGUGCAAGCGUUAUCCGGAUUCACUGGGUUUAAAGGGUGCGUAGGUGGGCAAGUAAGUCAGUGGUGAAAUCUCCGGGCCUAACCCGGAAACUGCCAUUGAUACUAUUUGUCUUGAAUACUGUGGAGGUCAGCGGAAUAUGUCAUGUAGCGGUGAAAUGCUUAGAUAUGACAUAGAACACCAAUUGCGAAGGCAGCUGGCUACACAAAUAUUGACACUGAGGCACGAAAGCGUGGGGAUCAAACAGG
rnacentral:rRNA from 1 species